rnacentral:rRNA from 1 species
GGAACGAACGCUGGCGGCAUGCCUAGUACAUGCAAGUCGAACGAGACCUUCGGGUCUAGUGGCGCACGGGUGCGUAACGCGUGGGAAUCUACCCUUGGGUUCGGAAUAACAGUUGGAAACGACUGCUAAUACCGGAUGAUGACGAAAGUCCAAAGAUUUAUCGCCCAGGGAUGAGCCCGCGUAGGAUUAGCUAGUUGGUGAGGUAAAGGCUCACCAAGGCUACGAUCCUUAGCUGGUCUGAGAGGAUGAUCAGCCACACUGGGACUGAGACACGGCCCAGACUCCUACGGGAGGCAGCAGUAGGGAAUAUUGGACAAUGGGGGCAACCCUGAUCCAGCAAUGCCGCGUGAGUGAUGAAGGCCUUAGGGUUGUAAAGCUUCUUUUACCGAGAUGAUAAUGACAGUAUCGGAAGAAUAAGCUCCGGCUAACUCCGUGCCAGCAGCCGC